UCACAGUUUGCACUGGCAGUCUUGUUAGAGUUCCCGACUUGACUCGCUGGCAACUAACAACAGGGGUUGCGCUCGUUGCGCCACUUAAGGCAACACCUCACGGCACGAGCUGACGACAGCCAUGCACCACCUGUGCAGGCUCCGAAGAGCGUCGUCUUUCAACGAUUUCACCCUGCAUGUCAAACCCAGGUAAGGUUCUUCGCGUUGCCUCGAAUUAAACCACACGCUCCGCUGCUUGUGCGGGCCCCCGCCUAUUCCUUUGAGUUUCAGCCUUGCGGCCGUACUCCCCAGGCGGGGUACUUCCUGCGUUAGCGCCGGCACUCAGGGGGUCGCUCCCCCAAGCACCUAGUACCCAUCGUUUACGGCGUGGACUAC
rnacentral:misc_RNA from 1 species